rnacentral:rRNA from 1 species
CACGUAGGCACCAAGCGUCGUCCGGAAUUAUUGGGCGUAAAGAGCUCGUAGGCGGUCUGUCACGUCGGCUGUGAAAACCCGAGGCUCAACCUCGGGCCUGCAGUCGAUACGGGCAAACUAGAGUACUGCAGGGGAGACUGGAAUUCCUGGUGUAGCGGUGAAAUGCGCAGAUAUCAGGAGGAACACCGGUGGCGAAGGCGGGUCUCUGGGCAGUAACUGACGCUGAGGAGCGAAAGCGUGGGGAGCGAACAGG